CUGCCCUUCACCUGGCUGUCCUCUCUAAAAACACAGCUGUGGCAGGGCUGUUACUGGAGCAUCAUGCCAAGAGUGAUGCUCAGAACCAGUGGGGAUUUACCCCCUUCAAACUUGCAGCCUUCCAACAGCAUGAGGAGAUGGAGUGCCUUCUGAAAAAAGCAGCUGACAGGCAGGCUCAAGCCCAGGGGGAAAGGACUGUUCUUGUGGUUCCUGGAACCCAUGAGGCUCACCUGGAGGAAGACAAUCUGCGCUUGCAGGAGGAGCUGGACAGGGCUGACGCGGAGCUGCGGGAGGAGGAA